rnacentral:rRNA from 1 species
UACGGAGGGUGCAGACGUUGCUCGGAAUCAUUGGGCGUAAAGCGCACGUAGGCGGCCUGAUAAGUCGGGUGUGAAAGCCCUGGGCUCAACCCAGGAAGUGCACUCGAAACUGUCAGGCUUGAAUAUGGAAGAGGGUCGCGGAAUUCCCGGUGUAGAGGUGAAAUUCGUAGAUAUCGGGAGGAACACCAGUGGCGAAGGCGGCGACCUGGGCCAAUAUUGACGCUGAGGUGCGAAAGCGUGGGGAGCAAACAGG